AGAGUUUGAUCCUGGCUCAGAGCGAACGCUGGCGGCAGGCCUAACACAUGCAAGUCGAACGCACCCUUCGGGGUGAGUGGCGGACGGGUGAGUAACACGUGGGGAACGUACCCUUUGGUUCGGAACAACUCAGGGAAACUUGAGCUAAUACCGGAUGUGCCCUUCGGGGGAAAGAUUUAUCGCCAUUGGAGCGGCCCGCGUCUGAUUAGCUAGUUGGUGAGGUAAAGGCUCACCAAGGCUACGAUCAGUAGCUGGUCUGAGAGGAUGAUCAGCCACACUGGGACUGAGACACGGCCCAGACUCCUACGGGAGGCAGCAGUGGGGAAUCUUGCGCAAUGGGCGAAAGCCUGACGCAGCCAUGCCGCGUGAAUGAUGAAGGUCUUAGGAUUGUAAAAUUCUUUCACCGGGGACGAUAAUGACGGUACCCGGAGAAGAAGCCCCGGCUAACUUCGUGCCAGCAGCCGCGGUAAUACGAAGGGGGCUAGCGUUGCUCGGAAUUACUGGGCGUAAAGGGCGCGUAGGCGGGACGACAAGUCGGGGGUGAAAGCCCGGGGCUCAACCUCGGAAUUGCCUUCGAAACUGUCGACCUAGAGUACGGGAGAGGUGUGUGGAACUCCGAGUGUAGAGGUGAAAUUCGUAGAUAUUCGGAAGAACACCAGUGGCGAAGGCGACACACUGGCCCGUUACUGACGCUGAGGCGCGAAAGCGUGGGGAGCAAACAGGAUUAGAUACCCUAGUAGUCC
rnacentral:rRNA from 1 species